rnacentral:rRNA from 1 species
CAAGCGGUGGAGCAUGUGGUUUAAUUCGAUGCAACGCGAAGAACCUUACCUACUCUUGACGUCCAGCGAACUUAGCAGAGAUGCUUUGGUGCCUUCGGGAACGCUGAGACAGGUGCUGCAUGGCUGUCGUCAGCUCGUGUUGUGAAAUGUUGGGUUAAGUCCCGCAACGAGCGCAACCCUUAUCCUUUGUUGCCAGCGAUACGGUCGGGGACUCAAAGGAGACUGCCGGUGAUAAACCGGAGGAAGGUGGGGAUGACGUCAAGUCAUCAUGGCCCUUACGAGUAGGGCUACACACGUGCUACAAUGGCGCAUACAAAGAGAAGCGACCUCGCGAGAGCAAGCGGACCUCAGAAAGUGCGUCGUAGUCCGGAUCGAAGUCUGCAACUCGACUCCGUGAAGUCGGAAUCGCUAGUAAUCGUGGAUCAGAAUGCCACGGUGAAUACGUUCCCGGGCCUUGUACACACC